rnacentral:rRNA from 1 species
GACGAACGCUGGCGGCGUGCUUAACACAUGCAAGUCGAACGGAAAGGCCCUGCUUUUGUGGGGUGCUCGAGUGGCGAACGGGUGAGUAACACGUGAGUAACCUGCCCUUGACUUUGGGAUAACUUCAGGAAACUGGGGCUAAUACCGGAUAGGAGCUCCUGCUGCAAGGUGGGGGUUGGAAAGUUUCGGCGGUUGGGGAUGGACUCGCGGCUUAUCAGCUUGUUGGUGGGGUAGUGGCUUACCAAGGCUUUGACGGGUAGCCGGCCUGAGAGGGUGACCGGCCACAUUGGGACUGAGAUACGGCCCAGACUACUACGGGAGGCAGCAGUGGGGAAUAUUGCACAAUGGGCGGAAGCCUGAUGCAGCAACGCCGCGUGCGGGAUGACGGCCUUCGGGUUGUAAACCGCUUUCGCCUGUGACGAAGCGUGAGUGACGGUAAUGGGUAAAGAAGCACCGGCUAACUACGUG